rnacentral:rRNA from 1 species
UACGGAGGGAGCUAGCGUUGUUCGGAAUUACUGGGCGUAAAGCGCGCGUAGGCGGCUUUGUAAGUUAGAGGUGAAAGCCCGGGGCUCAACCCCGGAACUGCCUUUAAGACUGCAUCGCUUGAAUCCGGGAGAGGCGAGUGGAAUUCCGAGUGUAGAGGUGAAAUUCGUAGAUAUUCGGAAGAACACCAGUGGCGAAGGCGGCUCACUGGACCGGCAUUGACGCUGAGGUGCGAAAGCGUGGGGAGCAAACAGG